rnacentral:rRNA from 1 species
UACGUAGGGGGCGAGCGUUAUCCGGAUUCACUGGGUGUAAAGGGAGCGUAGACGGCCAAGCAAGCCAGGGGUGAAGGCCCGGGGCCCAACCCCGGGACUGCCCUUGGAACUGCAUGGCUGGAGUGCGGGAGGGGCAGGCGGAAUUCCUGGUGUAGCGGUGAAAUGCGUAGAUAUCAGGAGGAACACCGGCGGCGAAGGCGGCCUGCUGGAUCGCGACUGACGUUGAGGCUCGAAAGCGUGGGGAGCGAACAGG